AUCCAGGACGUCACGUGACUAGUUUGUUGACACCGCCAUGUUGACAAAAAUGGCAGCGACUGAAAUGAAUGAGACCGGCGUCAGCUUCAAGCCCCAUGAACUUUCCGCUCAUAUUAACCACAUGGAUAUUGAAGGAUACGACACAAAACUUACUCGGUUAAACAUAACCGACCCUUAUAAUGCGCCCAGCGAGUUUUUUACGUCUAUCAAGUCAGCCACAGCGAAGGACAAAGUCCCAGACCUACAGUAUCCGGACAUAUACAACUACCUCAUUAACUUUCUCUCGUCCUACUCAGGAGAAUCUUUGAAAGACUACAAAUGUCUAGAGGGGUACAAAUGGACAACGUCUGGAUUCGUUACGAACCUUCAACUUUGGUGCCUACCAGCUAAAAACAGCGUCGUCAUCACCGGAAGCGUGCGUCAUAAUUCCCAAAAGAUGGCUGACCCCGCAUUGAAGCCCUGGGUGUUAGUGAGGAAUGAUGGAGUUGUGUUAGGAGCCCACUGCCAUUGCACCACAGGACGUGGGGAGAGCUGCUCCCACGUAUCAGCUGUGUUGUUCAGUGUGUGGCAGCACAACAAUGGACGGCAGGAAGACUCUCAAAAGUGCAAGCGGUGCAAACCAAGUCCGGAGUCUUUGCAAAAAAUGGUAGCUAAGCAAGGCAAGGACUUAAAUUUUACUCACUCAAAAGUUGACUCGUCCAUUCGUCUAGCUGUCCCACCUCUGACCCCGGAUGAGCAAACCCAGCUUUAUAGCAGACUCAGCAAAUGCUGCAGACAGGAUGGAGGUGCCGUCAAGCCAGCGGUUCUCUCCGUCGUCCGAGACUACGCCUCAGCCUACGUCCCGAAAACCGUCAUGCUCAAUCCACCCGAACUCCUCACAGAUCCCAGCGAUAACCAGGCGGGGGAUCUCAUCCUGGAAGAGUUACCCUCGCUGAGGCGUUUUCACUCAUCAGGCCAUGAAGGCAUACAAAUCACUGGAAGCUCAUCGUUACUUCGCAGCUGGAUUUGUUCAAACUGUAAGGCACCUCAAAACCUGUUCAUCAGUGACCAUCCUGCAAGCCAGUGUUAGACCAUCGCAGCGGAUGAAUGACCCUAACCACCAGCCGUGGGUGGGGAUUCAUGACGGAGGGGAGGUUUUGGCUGCCCAAUGUACUUGCAUGGCAGGUUUGGGUGAAUCCUGUUCCCAUGUGGCUGCAUUGCUCUUUAAAAUUGAGGCUGUUGUUCACCUGGGAUACACAAGCCUUGCCUGUACCAGCCGUCCAUGUGAAUGGAACAACUUUUUUACUGAGACUGUGCAGACUGCCCCCAUCAAGGAUAUUAACAUUUAUAGAGGUGAAGCAGUAACAAAAGUAAUUGGAACAGGACGCAAGAGGCGACCCACCUCUGAGCUGUCUGCCCCCACAAAUGAAGAAAAGACAGCCUUCCUCCAUUCUCUAUGCAUGUCAGUUGAACAUUCACCAGUUGCCCUCUCUCUAUUUAGGGAGACCUCCAUUAACUUCAAGGCUAAGAGAGUGAUUACCCCAAGAAUUUCUUUGCCACGCCCCCUACGUUCAUACUACAGACCAAAUAAAACUUUAACUAUAUCAGAGUUGAAAGCCAAAUGUGAUGAGCUUGUGACCAAUACUAUUGUCAGUGCUGCUGAGGUAGACUACACUGAGCAGCAGACACGUGCCCAAUCUCACAGUGUUGUGUGGCAUGAACAGCGUGCAGGCCACAUAACCGCCUCAUCUGCAAAUUCUGUGCUGCACACAAAGGCAGAUUUACCUGCUGCAUCAGUGGUUAAGGGGUUCACUACUGCCGAUUCACGCUUUGAAGUUGUCAGUUGAUGUCGCUCGUAAAUGUCCAUCCUAUGGGAUGCCUUCUCUCCACUCUGUGGCAGUUGAGGUAAGAUGGAUGGUGCAUAAUCAGUGUGCAUGGGAUUCUUUACAGGUCGUCCUGGGAGGGAAAAAAUAUUGAGAGAUUUGAGGGCUACAUGUAUUGUUUAAGUACAACAAAGGAGAGUUUAAACAGAGAAGGGGG